rnacentral:rRNA from 1 species
AUUGAACGCUGGCGGCAUGCCUUACACAUGCAAGUCGAACGGCAGCACGGGAGCAAUCCUGGUGGCGAGUGGCGAACGGGUGAGUAAUAUAUCGGAACGUGCCCAGUCGUGGGGGAUAACGCAGCGAAAGCUGUGCUAAUACCGCAUACGAUCUAUGGAUGAAAGCGGGGGAUCGCAAGACAUCGCGCGAUUGGAGCGGCCGAUAUCAGAUUAGCUAGUUGGUGGGGUAAAGGCCCACCAAGGCGACGAUCUGUAGCUGGUCUGAGAGGACGACCAGCCACACUGGAACUGAGACACGGUCCAGACUCCUACGGGAGGCAGCAGGGGGGAAUUUUGGACAAUGGGCGCAAGCCGGAUCCAGCAAUGCCGCGUGCAGGAUGAAGGCCUUCGGGUUGUAAACUGCUUUUGUACGGAACGAAACGGUCCUUUCUAAUACAGGGGGCUAAUGACGGUACCGUAAGAAUAAGCACCGGCUAACUACGUGCCAGCCGCCGCCGUAAAAC